UGAGGAGGUGACGACACCGUUCAGCACCGGACGUCCUCGAAGCACCGCGUCACUAUUUCCACUAGUGUGGAGCCAAAUUCAAGACAUCAAAUGAAUUGAGUGGACUAAUAGUUGAACAUGUUGCUGCGUGUCUUACUAAGCCGGGAGCAGAAUGUCUGGCUGUGUGAUCUAACACUUGAAGUAUUCCUAAAAGAAUUGGAGAGCGACUUGCGGUAGCGGCCGACGUCUCCCGUGCCACUGAUGUGCCACGACCCCCAGCUGCUGCAGGAGUCACAGGAACACAUCGUCACAACAAUAGGCGGCGGAAAAAUCUAACUUCCAGAGGGGAAGGAAGCAAAAACCGGAACACAUUGGACUUUGUGACCUUUCACCUAUUCACUUAUAUUAGCUGAAACUUCCUUCAUGACUCAUUGUACAAAUAGUCACGCGGUCCAUCUGCAGUGUACACACACACACACACAUAAUCCAGUCAGUGUUUCUGCUGGUGAUCAAAUAUUCACGGAUGAUGAACUUUGUCUUCACGAUGCAAUGGCCUCAGUCAGCUCCGCACUAAAGCUGCAUGACAUUUAGGAAGGUAGUCGGAAGCGUCUGCUGUUGUUGUUGUGCCGCUUCACUGCUUGCCAGAUUGGCUCCAAACAAUCAGAGGAAGCCCAAAGCAAACAGACGCCAUGUUGGAGCCAAACUCUGCAGCAGAUGUCAAAGACUGAACAUCUACUGGGACAAAGUCCACCUUAAAUGUUCUCCUUCUUCCAUACUUUUGUACUCAUCUAUUGGGGUCACUUAGUGUACCAAAGAGUAAUAAAGUCACGCUGAAAAGGACAACAAUCAUCCAAAGGGGAUUAAAGAAAAAUACUGUAUAUUAGGAGGAAAUCCAUGGGUAAUCUUGCGGUAUUAGGUUGUUUUUUCUGCAGUGAAAAAGUAGAAAUUUUAUGAGAAGAAUAUAUAUAUUCUUAGGCAUUAACGUUAAAUACUUUAUUACUAUAUAUUUUUUUCAACUUUUAGACUUGAAAGUCCAAAUUUUGUCCAAACAGAAAAUCUAUCCCAGCUGCACUCGGGCGGACGGCAGGGUACAUCCUGGACAAGUCCAGGGAAAAACUAAAGUUAUGUCAUCAUACAUACAGUACAGGCCAAAAGUUUGGACACACCUUCUCUUUC